UAGAACUCAGACCAAUAAUACAUGCAACCUGGAGUGCAGUGGCACGAUCUCAGCUCCAUGCAACCUCAACCUCCCGUGCUUAAAUGAUCCUUCCACCUCAGCUUCCUGAGUAGCUGGGACUACAGGUACAUGCCACCAUGUCUGGCUAAUUUUUGUAUUUUUUUCGUAAGGAUGGGUUUUCACCAUGUUACCCAGGCUGAUCUCGAAUUCUUAGGGUCAAACAAUCCACCUGCCUUGGCCUCCCAAAGUGUUGGGAUUACAGGGUUUCACUUUGUCAUCCAGGCUGGAGUACAGUGGUCCAUCAUGGCUCACUGCAGCCUUGACCUCCUGAGCUCAAGCAAUCCUCCACCUCAGCCCCACCAAGUAGCUGGGACUACGGGCACCAGGCAUAUACUAUACAGGCAUAUACUACACCAUGCCUGGCUAAUUUUUUUUUUGUAUUUUCUGUAAAGAUGGGAUUUAUCCAUGUUACCCAGGUCUGUCUCGAUCUUCUGAGCUCAGGCAAUCCUCCUGCUUCAGCCUCCCAAAGUGCUGAGCCACCAUGCCCAGCCAUGUCUGACUCUAUUGCUUGAGAGGCCCUAUCUACAUGACAGUGUGAUGGCCUCUGACAUCCCAAAACUUAUGGAGAAAGCAUGUUCCCCCAACUUUAUUGGAAGAAAGGUUUCAUUCAUUUUGGCUUAUGUCUGUGAAGUAAAUACACUGGCCAGUCAAGGAAUGCUCUGAAUGGCCAGCUUGGGACACAUAUUUCUUUCAGUUUUGAGGAUAUGAGUUUGCUAUGCAACAGGAAUUUGGAGUGGGUGAGUGACCAGUGCCUAGAAAAAAGGGAUUGUGGGCAGAUGGAAAAGUGGGAGAUACCUACUAAAUUUCCUUUUCUUGUCUGUCAUAUCUGAUCAGCUACCAAGUAGUCCUUGGGCAGGCACAGUGGCUCAUGCCUGUAAUCCCAGCACUUUGGGAGGCCAAGGCAGGAGGAUUGCCUGAUCCCAGGAGUUUGAGACCAGAAUGGGCAACUUGGUGAGACCCCAUCUUUAUAAAAAUAAAAAUAAUAUAAAAUAAUAAUAAAAGAAUAUA
rnacentral:lncRNA from 13 species